UGCGUCUGUCCAUGCGCGACCCCAUCCUGCCGUUCGGUCGUUGACGACGACCGUCCAACCGCGGCGCGCGAGUGCAUCGGGCAAGGCCGCGAGUUGCGCAUAGCGAGCGCCGGCAAACGCGGUCCAGUCGGCGACGUGGCCCUUGACGAGGUCGGCCAUGAGCCUUGCGACUGCGGCAUCUGUCGACAUACACGGUCUCCAUCCGUCGCGCCUCUUCCAUACGGUCGUGGGCGUGCACAGCCGCUCGCGCAAGCGCAAGAGUCUCUGCGUGUCGAGAAACACCAGCCAGGGCACGCAGGCGCCGAGUAUGUCCGAGGGAGAUUGCGCCUUGAAUGCAAUGUCGAUCGCAAAGACCAGGCGGCGAGCGCCGUCGCUGCAGUGUAGGCGCGCGACGGGAGCGCCUUCGGGGCUCUCAGACAGCGCGUGCACGACGGGCUCGAUGGCCGAGAUGGCGUCGAUGCAUGCGGCAAUCUCGACCACCUGGUUGAGACGGUGUUGGCGUGCCGUGUGCCGCCGAGUCUGGUCUGUCUGCGCGCGCUCGUCGUCGCUCGGAAGCGUUGUCGCGUGUUUGGCCGCGAUUGCGUGCAGGCGCUCGGGCCAGUCGUCGACGCGCGCAUCCAGCGACGGAAAGCAUUGGACGAUCUCGGCGGCCUCGAUGGCGGCCGCACGAUCGGCCUCGGCCCUCUGACGGUCAGAGCGCGCACCGGCCAGGGUGCGCAAAAAGGCACCGGCCACCUCGACCGAUUCGUCCUCGGGUCGCUCCAUCUUUUCUCUUUCUUUCUCUCUCUCUCUCUCUCUCUCUCUCUCU
rnacentral:lncRNA from 1 species